AGAGUAAGAGUACCUUCCAUUUCCAUAUACAAUUGACAAUUGGUUGUAGUGAGUGUGGGAGGAGAGUCACAACUACCAGUCCUUGCUUUGCAUCGUGUGAGUUUGGGAGAGGAAGGAAGCUACUCGGAAAGUUAUUCCUUCCUCAGCAAAAAAAAAACCAUUCCUUUAUAACCAUAAAGCGCCUUCUUUAAUUUUCUUCACCACCACUCCAUUACUCUCUCCACGCACCCCCUACUACCUUUGUUUUGAGUUUGAGGAAUAUAAGAAAAAUGAAAAUGGGUAAAGGAAUUGUUUUUAUUGUUGCUCUGGUGGCCAUUUGCCUUGGUGGGAAAUGGGUGGAAGCGCAGGUGCAUCAUGUUGUCGGAGCAGACCGUGGUUGGGAUCAAACCUCCGACCUCGUUUCUUGGUCUGCAAGCAGAGUCUUCAGGGUUGGAGACCAAAUUUGGCUCACUUACUCUGUGGCUCAGGGAUUAGUCGCUGAGCUGAAAAGCAGAGAGGAAUAUGAGGCAUGUAAUGUGAGCAACCCCAUCAACGUGUACACAGAGGGUUUGCAUACUAUCCCUCUUGAGAGUGAAGGAAUGAGGUAUUUUGUGAGCAGCGAGCCAGAGAAUUGCAAAAAUGGUCUCAAGCUACACGUUGAGGUUCUGCCCAAGGCUGAUGAACGUAUCACAGAGCCUUCCACUUCUACCCUAACAGAUGAGGCUGUGGCGCCCACUACUCCUUCUGGUUCACCACGUUAUGCUCACAACACUAUGUUAAAGCUCACGGUUAUAUUGUUUCUCAUCAUAGGUCUUGCUUACUGACACCUGUCCCAACCCUAUAUAUGUAUUUAAGACACUAUUUUGGGAUUUGGGACCCUGCUAUGUGCCAUUUUUUUUAAUGUGGGUAUAUGUCUAGUUUAAGAAGGAUUUUUUUUUUGUCUUGUUUUAUGAAUUUAACUGUUAUGUUUUUAAGAGUAAGAAUUUUAAUUCCUGAAAUUACAGUGACUACCUAUUGCGCUAUCA